rnacentral:rRNA from 1 species
AACGAACGCUGGCGGCAGGCCUGACACAUGCAAGUCGAACGCCCCGCAAGGGGAGUGGCAGACGGGUGAGUAACACGUGGGAACCUUCCCAACAGUACGGAAUAGCCCAGGGAAACUUGGAGUAAUACCGUAUAUUCCCGAGAGGGGAAAGAUUUAUCGCUGUUGGAUGGGCCCGCGUCGGAUUAGCUAGUUGGUGAGGUAACGGCUCACCAAGGCGACGAUCCGUAGCUGGUUUGAGAGAAUGACCAGCCACACUGGGACUGAGACACGGCCCAGACUCCUACGGGAGGCAGCAGUGGGGAAUCUUGGACAAUGGGCGCAAGCCUGAUCCAGCCAUGCCGCGUGAGUGACGAAGGCCUUAGGGUUGUAAGGCUCUUUUGCCGGGGACGAUAAUGACGGUACCCGGAGAAUAAGUCCCGGCUAACUUCGUGCCAGCCGCCGCAGUAAAAC